rnacentral:rRNA from 1 species
CUUGCAACUGAUUAGCUUGUUGGUGAGGUAAUGGCUUACCAAGGCUUUUAUCAGUAGCUGGUCUUAGAGGAUGUACAGCCACACUGGAAAUGAGAUAUGAACAGACUCCUACGGGAGGCAGCAGUGAGGAAUCUUCCGCAAUGAGUGAAAGCUUGACGGAGCAAUGCCGCGUGGAGGAUGAAGGCCUUAGGGUUGUAAUCUCCUUUUCUCACAGAAGAAUUUUUGACGGUAUUUGAGGAAUAAGCAUCGGCUAACUUCGUGCCAGCAG